UACGGGGGGGGCAAGCGUUGUUCGGAAUUACUGGGCGUAAAGGGCUCGUAGGCGGCCAACUAAGUCACACGUGAAAUCCCCAGGCUUAACCUGGGAACUGCGUGUGAUACUGGAUGGCUUGAAUCCGGGAGAGGGAUGCAGAAUUCCAGGUGUAGCGGUGAAAUGCGUAGAUAUCUGGAGGAAUACCGGUGGCGAAGGCGGCAUCCUGGACCGGCAUUGACGCUGAGGAGCGGAAGCCAGGGGAGCAAACGGG
rnacentral:rRNA from 1 species